rnacentral:miRNA from 1 species
AGAAUCAGUUUCGAUUGCAGAA